UACGGAGGAUGCAAGCGUUAUCCGGAAUGAUUGGGCGUAAAGCGUCCGCAGGUGGCUAUGUAAGUCUGCUGUUAAAGAGUGAGGCUCAACCUCAUAAAAGCAGUGGAAACUACAUGGCUAGAGUGCGUUCGGGGCAGAGGGAAUUCCUGGUGUAGCGGUGAAAUGCGUAGAGAUCAGGAAGAACACCGGUGGCGAAGGCGGCAUUCUGGACCGAUAUUGACGCUGAGGAGCGAAAGCCAGGGGAGCAAACGGG
rnacentral:rRNA from 1 species